AGAGAUUCUACAUCUUUUAGUCACCUAGAAUACAGACCCAUCACUAGCAUUUCCUUUUGUAUUUUAUGCCCACAUUUUGUCAUCACCUUCUAUCUUCAUCUCCUAGUUAGCAAGCAUCAUUUUCUCUGAUUCUUAUGCUACUCAUCAGCAUCCACAACUCUAUCCAUGCAUCUUUAAGAAAUCAAAACCAGAAUUAGAAAGAGAAGAACAGAUAACUAGCUAGC
rnacentral:lncRNA from 1 species